rnacentral:rRNA from 1 species
AUUGAACGCUGGCGGCAUGCCUUACACAUGCAAGUCGAACGGUAACAGGUCUUCGGAUGCUGACGAGUGGCGAACGGGUGAGUAAUACAUCGGAACGUGCCCGAUCGUGGGGGAUAACGGAGCGAAAGCUUUGCUAAUACCGCAUACGAUCUACGGAUGAAAGCAGGGGACCGCAAGGCCUUGCGCGGACGGAGCGGCCGAUGGCAGAUUAGGUAGUUGGUGGGAUAAAAGCUUACCAAGCCGACGAUCUGUAGCUGGUCUGAGAGGACGACCAGCCACACUGGGACUGAGACACGGCCCAGACUCCUACGGGAGGCAGCAGUGGGGAAUUUUGGACAAUGGGCGCAAGCCUGAUCCAGCCAUGCCGCGUGCAGGAUGAAGGCCUUCGGGUUGUAAACUGCUUUUGUACGGAACGAAACGGCUCUUUCUAAUAAAGAGGGCUAAUGACGGUACCGUAAGAAUAAGCACCGGCUAACUACGUGCCAGCAGCCGCAGUAAAAC